rnacentral:rRNA from 1 species
CGGCNGCUACACAUGCAGUCGAGCGGUAGAGAGGUGCUUGCACCUCUUGAGAGCGGCGGACGGGUGAGUAAUGCCUAGGAAUCUGCCUGGUAGUGGGGGAUAACGCUCGGAAACGGACGCUAAUACCGCAUACGUCCUACGGGAGAAAGCAGGGGACCUUCGGGCCUUGCGCUAUCAGAUGAGCCUAGGUCGGAUUAGCUAGUUGGUGAGGUAAUGGCUCACCAAGGCGACGAUCCGUAACUGGUCUGAGAGGAUGAUCAGUCACACUGGAACUGAGACACGGUCCAGACUCCUACGGGAGGCAGCAGUGGGGAAUAUUGGACAAUGGGCGAAAGCCUGAUCCAGCCAUGCCGCGUGUGUGAAGAAGGUCUUCGGAUUGUAAAGCACUUUAAGUUGGGAGGAAGGGCAUUAACCUAAUACGUUAGUGUUUUGACGUUACCGACAGAAUAAGCACCGGCUAACUCUGUGCCAGCAGCCGCGGUAAUACAGAGGGUGCAAGCGUUAAUCGGAAUUACUGGGCGUAAAGCGCGCGUAGGUGGUUCGUUAAGUUGGAUGUGAAAUCCCCGGGCUCAACCUGGGAACUGCAUUCAAAAC